UCCGGGGGGAGCAAGCGUUGUUCGGAUUCACUGGGCGUAAAGGGUGCGUAGGUGGUGAGGUAAGUCGGAUGUGAAAUCUCCGGGCUCAACCCGGAAACUGCAUUGGAAACUACCUUGCUUGAGGAUUUGAGGGGGGAUUGGAAUACUUGGUGUAGCAGUGAAAUGCGUAGAUAUCAAGUGGAACACCAGUGGCGAAGGCGAAUCCCGGGAAAAUACCUGACACUGAGGCACGAAAGCUAGGGGAGCAAACAGG
rnacentral:rRNA from 1 species